rnacentral:lncRNA from 1 species
GGACAUGGGUGAGGUCACUGAUCCCAUUCACAGAUGAGGGAACAGAGAGGGAGAGUGACCUGCCUGAGGUCACACAGAAGGGAGGAGCGGCACCAGGGGGCAGAGGCCCAGCAGCUACCAAGAGGUGGGGCUGGGGUAGGACCUAGGUUCUGGCCCCAGAGAGGGUGCCUCAACUACGCCUCUGUCCUGCCCCUCACGAUGAUGUCCCCAUGCCCUGCAUUACCCACUGUACCCACCAAGGCCUCAAGGUCACCCUCAAGGUUGGCCGCACCAUGCCCUUUCUACAGAGGAGGACACCGAGGCUGGAGGGAAGGGAAGAGGCUGGUGCAGGGCCUGGGGCUGGACCUGGGCUUCGAACCUGUGUCUUCUGCCUCCAUGGCUGGAGCCCCACCCGGGACCCUCUCAGGGCCCCACCUGCCCCUUGGAGGGGUCAAUAGGACACAGCGGGAGGGACCGGGGCAGGGUCACCCAGGAUGGAGUUGGGGUGGGUCCAGGAGGGGCCAGGCUCUGCCAGGUGCCAUGUCAGAUGCCAGGCCUGCCCCGGGGGGCCUCCCUUCUCUAUUCCGUACACCUCACCAGCCCCCGGGGCCCACCCCACCUGGUGCACUGGCCUGCCUCUGAAGCCCCGCUCUAACAUCCUGGAGGAGGACAGUGUGUUCGGCUUCAGAGGCCACGAAAAAGCAGCGGCAUCGCCUUCCUGUCCUAAAGCCUCGCAGUUUGUACCAAAAACAAGUGGGGCAGAGGUCGCCGGAUCUGGAAUCACCCCACACAUCACCUGGUCAGAGUUUCACAGCCUGGCUGACCUCCUCCUGGCCCAGCUGGAAUGAUGGGUCCUCCCGCCUGCUGGCCUCUGACAAGGGCACCUUCCCUUCCCCAGGCAGAAGCGACCCUCCCACUCCAGAGCCCCAGGGCGGACCACCCAGGCUCCUCCUGGAACAGCCUUCACUCUCCCUCGGUCUCCCCAGCAGAGAUGAGAACAAAGGGUGUGCUCAGCACCUCUGGGUUCAGAGACCGCAGCUGCUGGGCUGAAAAAUGAGGCUGCUGGAGGCCUGGGGACCAGGACUUCAGGCUUAGAGAGGCCCCUGGAGGCUUUGGCUCAGUCUGCUCCUUUUCUGGAUGGGAGAGCCGAGGCCCUGGGGGCGGGCAGUGUCCUCACGGCACCCCAGAAUCACACCGACUUCCCUGCAGACGCU